UCGGAUUGUAGUCUGCAACCCGACUACAUGAANCCGGAAUCGCUAGUAAUCGCGGAUCAGAAUGCCGCGGUGAAUACGUUCCCGGGUCUUGUACACACCGCCCGUCACACCAUGGGAGUUUGUAACGCCCAAAGUCGGUGGCCUAACCUUUAUGGAGGGAGCCGCCUAAGGCGGGACAGAUGACUGGGGUGAAGUCGUAACAAGGUAUC
rnacentral:rRNA from 1 species